rnacentral:rRNA from 1 species
AAGUCGUAACAAGGUUUCCGUAGGUGAACCUGCGGAAGGAUCAUUAACGAAUUAUUGAGGUUGUGCUGGUUCUUACAAGUGCACACCUCUUCAUUCAUUCACACCUGUGCACCCUUAGAGACGUUAUUACCCCCGUAUACGAAAACCUUAGGGUUAGGGUUAGCGGCUAUUACACACACUUUUAAAACAUUAUGAAUGUAAUCGCAGUAAUGCAAAAAAUAUAACUUUCAACAACGGAUCUCUUGGUUCUCGCAUCGAUGAAGAACGCAGCGAAAUGCGAUAAGUAAUGUGAAUUGCAGAAUUCAGUGAAUCAUCGAAUCUUUGAACGCACCUUGCGCUCCUUGGUAUUCCGAGGAGCAUGCCUGUUCGAGUGUCAUGAAACUCUCAAACCGUCAUCUUUUAUGGAUGUUCGGGCUUGGAUUUGGAUGUUGCUGGGUCUAACGGCUCGGCUCGUCUUAAAAGCAUUAGCUGUCUCUCACGACUUCAGUUAACGGUGUGAUAAUUACAUCUACGCCGAAGCCUUCGGGCGCUGAGUCGGGUUAAAGCGGCUUCUAACCGUCUUCGGACAAUUUCAUUUCACAUCUGGCCUCGAAUCAGGUAGGACUACCCGCUGAACUUAAGCAUAUCAAUAAGCGGAGGAAAAGAAACUAACAACGAUUCCCCUAGUAACGGCGAGUGAAGCGGGAAGAGCUCAAAUUUUAAAUCUGGCGGUCUCCGGCCGUCCGAGUUGUAAUCUAGAGAAGUGUUAUCCGUGCUGGACCGCAUAUAAGUCCCCUGGAACGGGGCGUCAUAGAGGGUGAGAAUCCCGUCUUUAAUGUGGACUACCAGUGCUCUGUGAUGCGCUCUCAAAGAGUCGAGUUGUUUGGGAAUGCAGCUCAAAAUGGGUGGUAAAUUCCAUCUAAAGCUAAAUAUUGGCGAGAGACCGAUAGCGAACAAGUACCGUGAGGGAAAGAUGAAAAGCACUUUGGAAAGAGAGUCAAACAGUACGUGAAAUUGUUGAAAGGGAAACGAUUGAAGUCAGUCGCGUCUGCUGGGAUUCAGCCUUGCUUCUGCUUGGUGCACUUCCUGGUUUGACGGGUCAACAUCGAUUUUGACCGUCGGAUAAGGGUUUGAGGAAUGUGGCAUCUUCGGGUGUGUUAUAGCCUCUUAUCGUAUGCGUCGGUUGGGAUCGAGGAACUCAGCAUGCCUUUAUGGUCGGGGUUCGCCCACGUAACAUGCUUAGGAUGUUGGCAUAAUGGCUUUAAACGACC